rnacentral:lncRNA from 1 species
UCUGUUUACAGAAUCCAAGCACUGGCCACAACCACGUGGGUUACUCCGUGUUCAGAGCUGAAUACGGUCCACUGGGCGACAGACAGUGAUUGUGGCCUCAAGAUCCAAUCACCCAGAGAGAGGUGCAAGGGAACUCAGCUCCCGGCUUUUUCAGUUGUGCCCUCUUCCUGAAUCCAUCUGUGGUGUCAACCAGUCAUGGAUGCAGGAGACUCUGAACUUAAGCCCAGCAGCACCACACCAAGCAUCAGGAAGAAGACAGAUGAAUACCUAAAACCCACCGUGGUUUCCAAAAACGUGGUGAGCUUUUUACUCGGUAGGCAGCUGGGGAGGCACAGAAGUGAUGUGGAUCUGUCAAAGUGGCUGUGGAUGCUGACAAGAGACAUGCCAGGGUGGAGGUGGCCUUUGCCAAAAAAUCAUGUGACUUACCUGCUUAUGCCUGCCAAUAAUUUUGGAAAAUGCAAAAAAAAAAAUGUUUAAAAUAAACUUAUGCCUUAUCUCAGCUGUUAAAAUAAAAGCUGUGUAUUCAGUC